rnacentral:rRNA from 1 species
CAGCGCCACGGUAAUACGGAGGGUGCAAGCGUUAAUCGGAAUUACUGGGCGUAAAGCGCACGCAGGCGGUCUGACAAGUCAGAUGUGAAAUCCCCGGGCUUAACCUGGGAACUGCAUUUGAAACUGUCAGGCUGGAGUCUUGUAGAGGGGGGUGGAAUUCCAGGUGUAGCGGUGAAAUGCGUAGAGAUCUGGAGGAAUACCGGUGGCGAAGGCGGCCCCCUGGACAAAGACUGACGCUCAGGUGCGAAAGCGUGGGGAGCAAACAGGAUUAGAUACCCCGGUAGUCCCUGUCUCUUAUACC